CCCAAAGGUGAAUUUCUUGGG
rnacentral:miRNA from 1 species